AAGACUAUACUUUCAGGGAUCAUUUCUAUAGUGCUUAACUGGAGAAAUGUGCUCGAAAGUGGUCAAACUCAGUACCCACGAGGACGAGCUUAAGUGUUCUCUCCUGAGCGUGAAGUGGGCUUGUAGUUCUGUUUACGCAGUUGCUACUUGCCUUUGAUGACCGUUCUGCUCUUCGUUAACGAAGAGUUGGAGGGAGAGAGCACAAGCUGAGUGGU